UACGAAGGGGACUAGCGUUGUUCGGAAUUACUGGGGCGUAAAAGCGCACGUAGGGCGGAUUUUGUAAAGUCAGGGGGUGAAAAUCCCCGGGGGCUCAACCCUCGGAAACUGCCUUUGAUACUGCAAGUCUCGAAGUCCGAUAGAGGUGGGGUGGGAAAUUUCCUAGUGUAGAGGUGAAAAUUCGUAGAUAUUAGGAAAGAACACCGGUGGCGAAGGCGGCCCACUGGAUCGGUACUGACGCUGAGGUGCGAAAGCGUGGGGAGCAAACAGG
rnacentral:rRNA from 1 species